rnacentral:lncRNA from 1 species
CUGAGAGAGACCAUUACUUCAGGCAGAUGAAGAUUCAUCAGAAGGAAGUUGGAAGACUACAGCAGGAGAACACCGAGCUCAGGUUCGCCGCAGAGUUCGCGAGGAUGGAAGAUGAGAUAGGGCCACCUGCGGGACCCUCAUCCAGAUAGAUCUUUCAUUUGUGUUGGAUUACCGUCAGGCUUGUUGACGGAAUUCACUUGUCUGUAUUUCUUUUCCUGAUUCUGGAGGAUUGUAUUUGACUUUAUCUGAGUUGAUGUAUGACUAUGGCACUGAUUGUGCACUCUUUUGGUUAUGGAUGGUGAUUUUCAGUCAGUGAUUGAUCUUCAAGCUUUAUUUGCUUUACCGUAUGCACUUACACAAGCACACACAUGGUUGGGGGUAUUCAUGCCAAAUCACAUAUCUCCGAUCUGCACGAUGAGAUUGAAUGCUGAAUAUAAGAAGUUUG